rnacentral:rRNA from 1 species
GAUGAACGCUGGCGGCGUGCCUAAUACAUGCAAGUCGAGCGAACAGACGAGGAGCUUGCUCCUCUGACGUUAGCGGCGGACGGGUGAGUAACACGUGGAUAACCUACCUAUAAGACUGGGAUAACUUCGGGAAACCGGAGCUAAUACCGGAUAAUAUAUUGAACCGCAUGGUUCAAUAGUGAAAGACGGUUUUGCUGUCACUUAUAGAUGGAUCCGCGCCGCAUUAGCUAGUUGGUAAGGUAACGGCUUACCAAGGCGACGAUGCGUAGCCGACCUGAGAGGGGGAUCGGCCAAAUGGAAAAGAGACAAGGGUCAAGACUACAAGGGGAGGCAGAAGAAGGGAAUCUUCCGCAAGGGGGGAAAGCCUGAAGGAGAAACGCCGGGUGGGUGAUGAAGUUUUUAGGAUGGUAAAACUCUGUUAUUAGGGAAAAACAAAUGGGAAAGAAAAUAUGCAGGUCUUGAAGGUACCUAAUCAAAAACCCACGGCUAACUACG